rnacentral:rRNA from 1 species
UAAGAAUCUUCCGCAAUGGGGGAAACCCUGACGGAGCGACGCCGCGUGGACGAUGAAGGCCGUGAGGUUGUAAAGUCCUUUUCUUGGCGAAGAAUAAAGGCAGGAGUGGAACGCCUGCCGGAUGACGUUAGUCAAGGAAUAAGCCCCGGCCAAUUACGUGCCAGCAGCCGCGGUAACACGUAUGGGGCAAGCGUUGUUCGGAAUCACUGGGCGUAAAGGGCGUGUAGGCGGUUUUGCAAGCCUGGCGUGAAAGGCUUCGGCUCAACCGGAGGAUUGCGCUGGGAACUGCGAGACUUGAGUUCUGGAGGGGGAGCUGGAAUUCCUGGUGUAGGGGUGAAAUCUGUAGAGAUCAGGAAGAACACCGGUGGCGAAGGCGAGCUCCUGGACAGAAACUGACGCUGAGGCGCGAAAGCGUGGGGAGCGAAC